CAACCAUAAUCAUGUAUCAGUGAGUUGGCAUGACAAUAUAUAGCUGAAAAGUGUAAGCCAAAACCUGAGGACACGUAACAAUAUUAUAAUAAAUCAGUGUGGUAUGAUGCAUUUUCAAAAUAAUCAGCUUUCAGUUCAUUCCGACCAAAACAGUUGAACACUUUCCCACGAUAAUAUAUCGGCCAUCUAUAAAAUAGACUUUUUUGCGAGGGAAAAAACUUACAUUAAUUAACUGGCUGCACUACAGUCUAAGGAGCACAACUGCUUUAUCUCAUCAGGUCCUUUUGUGAGCAUGGCUGACAACAUUUUGUUCGCGACAUACAUGCUUUAUUGCAUGCUCCAGGUCAAGUCCGAGGAGCAGUUUAAUUUCAUCUACAAGCAGCGCAGCCGGCGACUUGUCCUGGACAGUGCUUUGGAUCAUCUAUAAAAUAGACAUUGAGCAAGCAGGCACGAUUAAAUUAGUGAAUUGUACAAAUGUGCUAGCAGCUAUAUAUCAAGAGAAAGAAAGAAGAAAAUAAAACACACUUGGUUCACCAUGAAAUAGACAACAGAAAUCACAAAACAGAUCUGGAUCAUGCACGUAUGAACAAUUCCCAAAUCCCCAUAAAAACAGAGCAAGUAAACUGCACAUACUACAUAACUGUAUGCCUAUUCAGCACGUACGGAUCUAUAUUGGUGUGUUGGCGCCGCAAGUUCUCCUGGCCAGUGAGCUACAUCCAAAUCCAUACCUCCCCUAAAGAAAAAGAAUACUAACUGGAAUCAGCCAAAUUACAGAGAGAAAUCUAUGGGAGGGAGUGGGAGAAACGGAUCUAACCUUGAUGUCGCUUGCUGAGCAUGCGAGGCGAAGGAGGCGAGCAGAUCGAGCGUCACCGGCUUGGCUCCGGUGAGCUAAUGCUGGACCUAGGAGCACCGGGGAGGAGGAUACCGUGGUGGCAUCACCACGCGCUCGAGCACUACCAGAUUGCCUGCGGAAAGAUAAGAGUGAACAGCUUAGCGGGCGGGGCACUCGCGGCCACCGGGGAGGAGAACACCGUGGCGGCUGUGGCCUUUUCCCUGACGAUGAUGUGCAGCGCGACGAUGGGGUGACCGGGAGAUGGAGAUAACUGACCUGAAUGCCGGAUUGGGAGGGGGGAGGCAGGGAGCAGUCGUGGGAGUAGUCGUCGUCCACCAGGGAAUCACCGGAUCUGGGCAGCCGCCAGGUUCGGCGAGCGAUAGGGGAACAGGAGAGCGAUAGAGAGAUGUGUCGUUUGAGGGAGGAGAAGAAGGACCUGAAGCAAAUUCGUGGGGAGCAAAGGGAAAGUUUUGCACACGAUCUGUACAGAUCCCACCUCUCUAAUCUAUGCCAUACA
rnacentral:lncRNA from 1 species